rnacentral:rRNA from 1 species
UACGUAGGGGGCAAGCGUUGUCCGGAAUCAUUGGGCGUAAAGAGCGUGUAGGUGGCUCGGUAAGUCCGCUGUGAAAGUCCAGGGCUCAACCCUGGAAAGCCGGUGGAAACUGUCGAGCUAGAGUCCGGAAGAGGCGAGUGGAAUUCCUGGUGUAGCGGUGAAAUGCGCAGAUAUCAGGAGGAACACCAAUUGCGAAGGCAGCUCGCUGGGACGUUACUGACGCUGAGACGCGAAAGCGUGGGGAGCAAACAGG